GGGUGAGUAAUGCAUAGGAAUCUGCCUAGUAGUAUAGGAUAGCCACUAGAAAUGGUGGGUAAUACUGUAUAAUCCCUGCGGGGGAAAGAUUUAUCGCUACUAGAUGAGCCUAUGUCAGAUUAGCUAGUUGGUGGGGUAAUGGCCCACCAAGGCGGUGAUCUGUAGCUGGUCUGAGAGGAUGAUCAGCCACACUGGAACUGAGACACGGUCCAGACUCCUACGGGAGGCAGCAGUGGGGAAUAUUGGACAAUGGGCGCAAGCCUGAUCCAGCUAUGCCGCGUGAGUGAGGAAGGCCUUAGGGUUGUAAAACUCUUUCAGUAGGGAAGAUAAUGACGGUACCUACAGAAGAAGUCCCGGCAAACUCCGUGCCAGCAGCCGCGGUAAUAC
rnacentral:rRNA from 1 species